GAGCAAAUGAUUUUUCUGUUCAGGUUCAUUAUCAUAGCAAUUGUUAAAAUUACAUGAAUGAUAUACCCAAGGCACUUUAAAGCUUGAAAUCCACCAUGACAUAUCUACUCUAAUCAUUUGGCACAAAAUGACCUAACAUUCAUUCAGGACGUCACACCCUCCUAGUACACUACAAAAUGAAAAGUCUUAUUACAAUAAGCAAUGCUAUGCCCAUAGACUUAUGCUGAAUACAGAUAUGUCUGAAAUCAUCCGAAUCCGUGUACUUUCUCUAUUGCAAUUACACAUCAAAGUCAUGCUACAACCAAUUGCUCCCCAACAUGGGUUUUGAUCACUAGGCUUUUUGAUAAUAUAAAGAAAAAGUCACCAAACUUUUCUAGGCCCAACAAGCCCAAGAACCUCAUCCCAAAGCCCAACGCUUCCAACACUGGACAACCC